GAUAGAUAAAAAUACAAAUGAGAGUGAGAGGCGGCGAUGAUCGUUAUCAUUUUCAACCAUAAGUGCAAACAUCGUGAAUCUUAGGUAGACAAGGUGAGUAACAGGGCAUGCAUGGAGCUAGCGAUCAAGUUUAAGAAACUUACAUGAGGAGGGGCAUUUGUGUCAUUUUAUAUUUGUGUUAUGGAGUUUCAGUUGAGACUGUGUACUUGGUUAUAUGCAUGUUUCAAUUAUAGAUUUGUAUUUUAGACUUAUUGUGUGGAUGACUUGAGAUUUGAGUGAUGAUUAAGGUUUUAUUCAGUUGACAUUUUGCA